UACGUAGGGUGCGAGCGUUGUCCGGAAUUAUUGGGCGUAAAUAGCUCGUAGGCGGUUUGUCGCGUCGACUGUGAAAACUGGGGGCUUAACUCUCAGCUUGCAGUUGAUACGGGCAGACUUGAGUUCGGUAGGGGAGACUGGAAUUCCUGGUGUAGCGGUGAAAUGCGCAGAUAUCAGGAGGAACACCGGUGGCGAAGGCGGGUCUCUGGGCCGAUACUGACGCUGAGGAGCGAAAGCGUGGGGAGCGAACAGG
rnacentral:rRNA from 1 species